rnacentral:rRNA from 1 species
ACUCAAAUGAAUAGACGGGCACCCGCACAAGCGGUGGAGCAUGCUGUUUAAUUCGAAGAUACGCGAAGAACCUUACCUAGACUUGACAUCCCCGGCGAAGCUAUAGAAAUAUAGUGGAGGUUACCCGGGUGACAGGUGGUGCAUGGUUGUCGUCAGCUCGUGUCGUGAGAUGUUCGGUUAAGUCCGAUAACGAGCGCAACCCUCGUCACUAGUUACUAACAUUAAGUUGAGGACUUUAGUGAGACUGCCGGUGAUAAACCGGAGGAAGGUGGGGAUGACGUCAAAUCAUCAUGCCCCUUAUGUCUAGGGCUACAGGCGUGCUACAAUGGCCAUUACAAUGAGAUGCAAUAUCGCAAGAUGGAGCAAAUCUUUAAAGAUGGUCCCAGUUCGGAUUGGAGUCUGCAACUCGACUCCAUGAAGUUGGAAUCGCUAGUAAUCCUAAAUCAGAAUGUUAGGGUGAAUACGUUCCCGGGUGUUGUACACACCGCCCGU